UACGAGGGAACAUUAUUGGACCCCCAGGAUUAGUGUCGUGUUGACGUCUUUCUGUCUUUCUUUUUCGAUUGAGCCGUUUGUGGCUAAUUAAGUAAUCAAUAUGAUGAAGUUAAUCUGUCCAUACGGAAUGCAUGAGCAUAAUUCAAUUUCAAAUGUGUAUCACACCGCUGUCUAGCUGCAAAGACGCCCAAAACAUCACAGACUAGCAGGUUGAGAAUAACAUGAGGCCACACUGACUAGCAGGUUGAGAAUAACAUGAGGCCACACUGACUAGCAGGUUGAGAAUAACAUGAGGCCACACUGACUAGCAGGUUGAGAAUAACAUGAGGCCACACUGACUAGCAGGUUGAUAACAUGAGGCCACACUGACCAGCAGGUUGAGAAUAACAUGAGGCCACACUGACUAGCAGGUUGAGAAUAACAUGAGGCCACACUGACUAGCAGGUUGAUAACAUGAGGCCACACUGACUAGCAGGUUGAUAACAUGAGGCCACACUGACUAGCAGGUUGAUGAGCGCUAGCUGCAGUGGGGGCACCUUGUGACGUUAGCCAGC